rnacentral:rRNA from 1 species
GCAUAUCAAUAAGCGGAGGAAAAGAAACUAACAAGGAUUCCCCUAGUAACGGCGAGUGAAGCGGGAAGAGCUCAAAUUUAAAAUCUGGCGGUGUAUUCCGUCCGAGUUGUAGUCUAGAGAAGCAUCAUCCGCGCUGGACCAUGUACAAGUCUCUUGGAAUAGAGCGUCAUAGAGGGUGAGAAUCCCGUCCUUGACAUGGACUCCCAGUGCUUUGUGUUGUGCUCUCAACGAGUCGAGUUGUUUGGGAAUGCAGCUCAAAAUGGGUGGUAAAUUCCAUCUAAAGCUAAAUAUUGGCGAGAGACCGAUAGCGAACAAGUACCGUGAGGGAAAGAUGAAAAGCACUUUGGAGAGAGAGUUAAACAGUACGUGAAAUUGUUGAAAUGGAAACGCUUGAAGUCAGUCGCGUUCUCUGGGAUUCAGCCUUGCUUCUGCUUGGUGCAUUUCCUAGUCUACGGGCCAGCAUGAAUUUUGACCGUUGGAAAAAGGCAGGGGGAAUGUGGCACCUCCGGGUGUGUUAUAGCCCCUUGUCACACACGGCGGUUGGGAUUGAGGAUUCAGUGCACGCUUUUGUUGUGCUUUGAUGCUGGCGUAAUGGCUUAAACGACCC